rnacentral:sRNA from 1 species
GGCAGUCUUGGUUUUCUGCUAGUGCUGCUGCUGCUGGGAGGACGACGGACGGCAGCGGCCAAGCAAGAAGAAAGACGUGGCAGCAAGCGGGAGUCGGGCAUAGUGUCAUCGGUUCGGUAAAGUUUCUGUUCUCUGAUUUGGGGAUAUUCCCUGCCCAAAAAAUUCCUGGAAAAUUGACUAGUAUUAAGUGUGAGUAAAAGGUGUCCACUUUUUUUUAAGUUUUGAUUUUAGUUUUGUCUUGGAUAGUAUUUGGCAAGAUUUAGCCUAGAAAUUAUGUAGUAUUUAUUACAUAAGAAUCAAAAUUGCUUUGUUACUGGGCUGGUUUCAAAGUUUAGAACUCAUUUCUAUGUAUCAAAAUCGGGUUUUUUUUUUGUUUUUGAUUUUUUUUUUUUAAUUCUUAAAUGGUAAAUAUGCCAUUGUGAAAUGAAAUCUCAACUCCAAAAGUUUACCCUUUUACUAACUGGAGUAAAUGUAUACUUACAAAGUCUUUAGCUGUAGCCAUUAGUAGUAAAGAAUUUGGACCUAGGCUGCGUAAGCAAGCCUUUCCAGGGCCACUAUUUAAUGGCAAACCAGUGAUACUGGUGUUGAUACAAAAUAAGAAAUAAAUUUUCCCUUAGAUAAAGGUUUCUGUGUUUUGACAGUGCCAGUUUAGAAUGGCUAUAAUGCUGCUCUGCCUUCUACAGCUUGCUGCACCACUCUGUAGUUACUCUAUUACCAUACGUUUCUAUCUUUUUUGGUUAAACACUCCCUGAUGACGAUGAUGGAUAUAUAUACAUACAUCCAUAUUAUACAUAAUGAUAUAUGUGUAAGGAUUUACCUUC